AAAACUGUCUAAUCCCUCUCUAAACUGUUUCGUCUGAAAUAAAAUAUAUUUAUUAUUUAUAAAUAUAUCAGAUCGAAUUCAGUUGAAUAAUUACAUCUGUUUUAAACUAGCAUACCUCUUGCAGACACAACGACGCGAUUUCUGCUUCGGGCACCAUCUUAUAUAUGAUAUUGCGAAGAGCAGCAAGAAGCUCGCUAUCCAUAUCUAUCCCCGAAAUAGUAUACUGAAAUUUCGGAUUCAAAUAAUAAGCUGCAGAUAAAUUUCAAGACUGAUUAAGUACAAUUUUAUUUUCAUGCUUCGAAAAAAUAUUUUAAAACAUUCUUGAAUCCAAACUUACCAGCUAGAUGCAAAUCUCUGCCCAUCUGAUAGUCCCAACGGCGCUCAAUAAUGUUAAUGAAUUCUUGAGCAUGCUUGGGAUCAUUCUCACUGAUUAGUUUCUUUGUCCUCUCCAUCAUGUAAUAUAGGAAGCCCAUCUGGGGGUAUCUCUCGCUGUCCACGAUGCGAAGCACCUCAUAUAAAGGCUUGAUAGCCUUCACUAUCUUCUCAACCCGCUGCCAAAAUGACUGACUCGUCACCAAGUUCUCCACAUGACUUCCAUCAGUGUCGGCCCUCGCAUAUCUGCUCUUCUGCCACUCGGCACUGACAAACAUCUAACGUAAGGCUGUUUUCUUCUGAAGAAGACUAUCAAGUGCUAUGUAGUUGGUAGAAAAUCGUGUGA
rnacentral:lncRNA from 1 species